GUAGUUGUGCCCGAGUGGUUAAGGCGAUAGAUUUGAAAUCUGUUCCUCUCUGAGGGCGUAGGUUCGAACCCUACCAACUGCG
rnacentral:tRNA from 1 species